UAUCUAUCAAACAAGUAAUAAAAAGGAAUAAGAGCCUCAGAUAGACUGUCCAUGUCAGAUGGAAAAAUCACCCAAUGAGGGGUAUGAUAUUGCCACAUCGCCAUGACUGAAAUAGAGUGGAUUUUCAUAUUGGUUCUUUGAAAAUUAUCAAAUAGGCCCAUUCCAGCCAGUGUAGGAAAAAGACAAAAAAUCUGUAUUGUUUCACGCCUCAGUUUUUCUCCCGACUCUUCCACUUCAUCUUCUUUGAUGUCUGAAUUUUCUUUUGUGUAAUUUUCUUAAUCAAUGAUGAUCUUAAAACCUUUCUUUUGAAUGUUUUUUUCCACCUUCCAUUGAUCCGUCUCCUAUAUAAAGAUCUACGUCUAAACCUAAAUCACCCUAAAUCAAAACCUACUCGAAGCUACAUCAAUGGUCAUGAAUGAGGGGGUAAGAGCGACUGAAGUACAAUCGCAUAGUUUGUUUGCCGAAACCAAAAAGGUAAAUGGAACGUAGAUUACUCAUCUCAUAUUGGAAUCUAAUAAUAUGAAAUUGUCCCUUUCAUUUAGUUUUUCCCUUUCAGUUUCAUUGUGCGAAGAGGUAGAGAUUGAAACAACAUUUCGAGAGGUAUGUCGUUCUCCUUUCAUUUAUUCUAUGUUUUUGUUUACCACUCACACACCUUUCUAAAUCUAAGAGCCAUGUGACAGAAACCAUUUAAACCAAUGAGCAGAGCCACAUGAGAACACCACUGCUGAAAUUGCAAGAGCUAAUGACAAGUCUGGAGAAUUAACAUAGAUUUUUUUAUGUUGAAUAAUUUGACCCAAAAGAGCCGCAUAUACUGAUAAUUUUUGAACAUCACAAAAUCCCUGUUGCUUCCUUUUUUAUUUUCUUGGCUUAUCUUCCUUCCUGGGAAAAAUAAAGUUAUUGUGUUUCCAUAUUGUUUUUCAUGCUUUGCAAAUAGUCAAUAAGGAGAGAAAAUUUUAUACAACAGUUCCUAAAAAAUUGCUUUGAUUGAGUUUCAUAUGUGAAGUCAUGGCUCAUGGGCAGUGGAUGUUUCAUAACUAACAGACAAGGGUUAUAUUCCUUGCUGGAACAAUUCGUGUAUAGUGAGGAAGCAUACCAAUAAUGAGCAAGUAAUAUGCUUUUCUACACCUUCGUUUUAGUACUUUUAUGAAAGGUGCUUUACUUUUACAUUUCAUAACAAAAACUAAGACAACUAAAUCCAUAUAUAACCAAAAUAAUCUGAAAUAGACAGAUGGACACUGAAGUUUUGAAGGAAUCUUGAGUGUCUGACCUGGUUCCAUGAGUUUGUUAGGGGAUAAGGCUGCGGAAAUUGCUUGCCGAGUCAUUCUUUCUGCUAAAAAACGGAGCAAGAAGGCGAGUGAUUGUCUUAAGGUUUUGGAUUCAGAUUCAUGGUGGCUAAAGAGUCAUUUCGUAGAAUAUGAAGUUGUUGUUGAUUCAAAAGGCAAUGUUGUUUACGAGGUAAAUAUUGGAAAGUUGUCAAAUUUUCUUUGACACUUACACUCUCCUGCUUUGCAUGAUUAUCUCAGUGUUUGGUAAUUGAAAUGUGACUGCUUAUUAGAUUUUAGUCGUGUCCAUGUUGGCGCCUUGGUCAUACAGAAGAGCAUAUGUAAUUGAGCUCCAGUGUCACAGUAGCAAAGUUUGUUUGUAUUGUGUUUUGAGGACAUGUGUUGAUGUUGGAGCAAUAUUAGUGGAACCAUGUCAGAAACUGAAGAUUUGUUCAGUAAGUUUUACCUCCAUCUUUGUAUUACAGAUGUCUUGGUUAUUUUAUGUGUUUAAGAGUUUAUCGGUGAGCUUUGGCUAUAGCCUAUAGAUUCUGAAUCUUCUUUUACAUUCUGGCUGGAUAUGCGGUGCAUGUUCCAGGAGAGUUUAGACUUCGUGUGUGUUUUGAAUGGGUGUUUAGACCUUAUGCAAGCUGAGAAUGUUGAAAAACUUAUUUCAGCCAAGUCUUCUUCUCCUGCAGAUGCUGCUUUGGAAGGGAUUCCCGCAUCCCUUUGCCCACCUUUUAAAGUAUAACUUAAACUUACUCAAAAUCCAUAUGUAUCUCCAUCUCAGUAUCAAUAAAUUCUUGCAUGCCAGCCUGAGCCAGUGAUGCCCACUUUGAAACUUCCUCAAGAAGAAUCAUCCGAAAAUUUUAACACUCUAUGGCUAUGUUAAAGUUCAAUUGGAAGGUCUUCAUUCUUUUUAAAGAUUGUAUCAACAUUUUAUUCUAUUUUACAAGCAAUAAUUGUCGAUCUUUUUCUUUUGUAAAUAUUCCGAUAUAUGACAUUAAGAACAUUCCUCCUUGAUUAUAUUUUCUGAUGUUAUGUUCGAAAUGGCCACUGUCCAGGUAUAUUUAAAAAGGUGACUAUACAAAAAGGUUACUUCUAUGUUACCAGAUUUCUUCUAUGUCAAUCUAGGAAGAACUUGAGAAAACUGACAUGCACUGGGAAGAAGUAGUAGCAGAUUCGCGUUGCAACACUGACUGGCAUUAAUAUGUGGACAUUGACUUAUCGAAAGAUCCCAAAGGGUAAUCAAUCCAUCUGUAAUCCCUUUUUAGUUUAUGUGCACCUAAUGUUUUAAAAACAAAUCGCAUAAUGAGCUCCAAAUAGGGGGUUCUGUGUGACAAUGAUUCAAACCAUUUAAUUUCUACUUUCUGUGUUUUUUAUGACAAAUAAUUUUAUUUUAAUAUAGAUGAAUUAAAUACAUAUUUACAACAUAUUUAAUAGCCAGAAACAGUUUAAAUUAUUAUUAUUUAAUUUCAAUGAAUCUCAGAGUUUUCCUGAAACCCUAAAUAAAUAAAAUAAAGAAUAUUUGAAUUGUAAAUAAGGCUCACUUAUUAUUUAUAGUUUUCUCAAUACAAGAAGUUAAAUUUGAUUAAUGAUUUAUAUUUUAUAAUCAGUCAAAGCAUAUAUAACAUAUAUAUUCAAAUACCAAAUUAUAAUGAUUUAAUUUAAAUUAUGACGUAAAGAAGAAAAUCCGGGCGUAGCCCGGGACAAGCCCUAGUCUAUCCUAUACUAAAAGGGAGAUAUGCUCAAUAGAGAGGGUGUCCACGUCAGCCAAUUAAAUCAACCAAUAAGAAAAGAGUAAACUACCACGUCAUACACCUUGGUCGACUGAAGAUGUUAUUGCGCAUUCCGUUUGGGCUGUAACUACAAAAGCUGAAAUUCAAUAUAUUUUUUUCUACGGCCCAAUAUCAAGCCCGUUUUUGCCUAACCCUAAUCUCCACUCGAGAGUUGGGACUCCACAACUUUUCCACUUCGUCUUCCCCAGUUCUUAUGUAACUCCGUUACACCGUUACCGCCAGCUCCUCUUCAUCAAUCAACGAUGUCUUUAACCUCUUCAUUAUUGUUUCAUUCUAUCUCCUUCUCUUUCUCCUCAUAUAUAAAUUGGUGCCAAAUCUUCAUCGAUACUUUUUUUUUUGACAAAACUUCAUCGAUACUUACUUCAAUGUAAAUAGUUCAAUGCAUAAAAUCUCAAAUGAAAACAACCUGGCAAACAAUUUCUUUCUCUUUUAGAGUUUUGGUUUCUCUUUAUAUUAUUUUUAAUCAUUCUUUUAAAGUAACUCUACAAAGAGCGGCCUGUCCAUGAAUGAAUAUUUUAUGCUUUUGUUGAUCAUCAAAGUGUAGCAUAGUCGCGAUGGGAUUUGUUGUCUACAUUGUGAAUAAGUGUUUUUAUUUCAAGUGGUGAUUAAAUAUUACUGUUUUUUUUCUGCCAUAUUUAACUUAUAUUCUUUUUGAACAACGGUGUAGAUGUUACACGAAGCUGGUCAGUGGACAGUCUCUAAUUGACCACCCCAUCCUCGACGAAGUGAAGAUAGCAAGAACCCGGCAUGUUAUGGGUCAUCUGCAAUCACAAGAUUAUGGGGCUGUUAUGAAGCUGUACCUUUGGGACCAGUCUGCAACAGAGUUCUGCAAGAAAUUUACAGCAUAUGUAAAUUAGUCACUACAGCGAACACAAAAUGUCUUGGAGAGUUUAUCCCCAAGUGUUACUUCAGAUAUCCCCUGAAUUUGGAAUACCAGGGGGAUUUGGUGUUGCAGUUGGAUUUUCCCGCUUCCGUUCUUUGAGUUACAAAUACUUGAAGUUGAGUAGCGGCAUGAGCUAGAGCAGAGUGAUAUGUGACCACAUAAAUUUUCUUAUACAUCUGGAAAACUAACAUGGUGACCCGAGGAAGAAGUGAGCCCAGAAGAGAAAAUUAAAGAUAUGCGAUACAAACCUGAAGUUUUGGUUGUGGCCAUCGUUCAACCCAUGAUUGCCAGGGCCAUCCACGAGUCCAUCAGAGAGAUGCAUGGUAGGGACUUUGGUGAUCGGGUCAUUUCAGUUAGGAGCUGAAAUGUGAAUGUGUUGCAAACACCUAAAAGUUGAGGAUUCGUGAUAGUGUUGUCCACAUGUUCUGUGUUUGAAAAUUGAAGAUGGAAGAACCCAUUGGGUUGCUGUUGAUUUUCUUUGUUGCCUCUUUUUAGAGAAAUCUGUUGUACAAUAUGCAGUUUUACAUUCGUUGUUUUGUGUUUCUUAGUGCUUCUAUGAAGAUCUCCCAAUAAAAAUAUCUCCUAUUUGUUUGUCCAUUGUUUUACAUGCUUGAAGUCAUGUAAUUAUCAUUUGAGAAACAAUUAACUUUAAUUUUGCACAUAAUUACAUCUUAUCUUACUCGCUUUAAAAGAUUUAUCUUUGUUAAUAUUUUCAAUAAAUUCAUAAUCAAUCUUCUGUAAAUCUUUCACAAAGCAAUAUAAAAGAUUAGUUCUUUGAAAAGUCUGACAAAGAAUGCUCUACUGCUAAAGUCAAAACUCAAUUCCCAAGCAGACAGCCAAAACUCUUUAAAUCAAUACUGUUAGAAUAGUAAUAUUUCAUUAUUAGAUAUUUAUUUAUUUAUUAUUUUGUUGUCAAAAAAAAAGAUAUUUAUUUAUUUAUUUUAAAAAUUAAGCUUUUUUUUAUUUCUAAAUAUUUUUUGUAAAAUAAGUAUGAUAAUUUCAUCCAUAGCUUUAGUUAUUAAUCAAACUUUAUAGAUUCAGUUUUUAUCUUAUUUUAAUGUUGGUGUAAUGGAAUAUUUAGAUAUGUUCAGAUGUAACACUAAACUACUAAAUUAAAAAUAAUAAAACUACAUUAAAUUAAAAAUAAUUAGAAAUAGACGUCAUUUAGAAGAUAACUAACAUACGAAUUUUGAUAUUUCUAGAAAUUUUAAAUUUGUAACUGCUAAUUUAUUAAUAGAAUCAUAUAUCUAUAUUGGAUUAUGUUCUAUUUUUAAUCGUUAGACUUUAAAGGUAAAUAAAUUAUUAAUUUAUAAUAUAUAUUUUAUAACUUUAUAUUGUAGUUAUAAAUAAAUAGAAAAUAACCGGAGAGGGUGAAGAAGCUCAUGUAAAAUUAUGUAAUUAAAAUGGUAAAAUGGUGGGUAUGAUGAGGUGAAUCUAAGAGAAUUUGUUGUAGAAAUUAUGGUGUUUUCUUCGUCCACUAAAAUGAUCUAAAGUAAAAGAUAUAUUCACAUAAAUAAGUUAAUAUUUGUUGUUGAUGGAAGAAGUGUUUAUAUUCUUUUCUCACAGCAGUAUCUAUAUUUUAGUAAAGAUGGCCAAAAUUCUUCUUUUUCAAUUAGCCUCACCAAUUGAAAGCAGUUCGAUUCAAAAUGCAUAGAUGUGAAUCUUAUAUGAAUAGAGUUCUCCCAUUGCCCGUAGCAGUGUAAUAAACUCCCUGUGUAAAGGAAAAGAAAUGCUAUAUAAGUGAAAUAUUUUUUUCUGAUUAUUUUUCCUUGUGCCUACUCGGCUCUUCGCAAUUUGAAAAAGAAAGAACAUAUGUGUGAACAUCUUUAGCUCGGUCAAAUUUUAUCCAGUUGUUUAUAAAACUAAUGUUAUCUCAUUGAUGUAAUUUUUCAAUGUUGAUUUUAAAGUCCAACAACUCAUCUUUUUUUUUUUUUAACUCAACAUUCAUAUUAAUAUUAAUCAAAAAGUUUGAUUACACCAUAGGCUUAUCAGCCUCAACAUAAGUUUUAAUCCAAGAAGGCAUAGUAGAAAACAAAACAGAGGAGUUACUCUCGAAGUUAGAAGCCUCUUUUGCUAUAAUUGAGGAGUUAGUCCAACAACUCAUCUAUACUGACUUUUUGAUAUUUAUUUUUUCUUUUCUGAUUUGAAUUUAAAAAGAGAUAAAACUUCUCUAAGAUAUGUAAACUGGGAAAAAACCUUUAGAAGGCAUUUACAUAAUUCAGACUUAUAAUAUAUACAUAUAAAACAUGUGUAAAAUGUGCCUGAAUAUCUUUUUUUUAAUGCGUUAAGAGAUCAUACUAUAUAUAUAAUAUUAUUUUAAAAUUUCAAAAAGUUUGUAGCACAUGCACAAAACCACCAAUAAAAAUAUAAAUCUCCAUCUACAACAAGAAAAAUAAAAAAUUAUAAACAUAAUGUUAAUAUAAAUUAAGUAAAACUAACAUUGGAAAACAAGAAGUUAAUGGAAAAAUAAACAGACAAAUAAUAUUAUAAAUAAAAUAAAUUUGCAAGACACAAUCCGCGCGAAGCGCAGAAAAAAAUCUCUAGUUAUUAUAAAGAAGAGCUACUCUCUUCUCCUAAACCCUCCACAUCAUUAAUUGAGUUCAUAAGGUAAUGACACGUGUCUAAUCUUUUGUUAAUGAACUUAUUGAUAAACUGGCCUUCGUACAAAUCAAUUAAUCAGGUGUGUUCAGAGGUUAUGUCUAGUGGGCUUUUAAUAUAAUAUUUAGGUAUAAUAGGAUCUGUUAAGUAGGUGCUAAGUGGAUCCUAGAAUUAUUAUCUUCAUCUUCAACGCUUUGUCUUCCGAUCCUCUGAUGCACUGCCGACAAUGUCGAAAUGCAUAUCUUCACAAUUACUUUGGAAAACAGGAGCCGUUAUGGAUCCCUUCUGCAUUCAAUAAUUGCCAUUAACGUCCCAAUUGAGUCUAUCUCCCCACUCUUUCCACAAUAUCACAUUCAUUGCAUCUCCCUUUUCCUUCAAGCAUGUGAAUCUUGAGCUAUAAAUAGGUUAGUUUGUACCCGUGAAUUUCUUCAUUUCUUUCCUCACAGUCAUAUUGACACGAAAGCCUUUCACAAAAUUCAAUGGAAAACUCCUCUCCUUCUUGCUGACUUCAAAGCCGGUCGAUGUAGCACAACCAUCAAAGUGCGGCGACCUCAUCAGUCUCUUCGAGGCUCAAUAUCUGGGAGAUUGGGACAUUUGUGGGACUCAACUGUCGAAGUGUGGCGACCUCAUCAGUCUCUCCGCUUGCUUUCUCCAUCGAAUUUAACCAUAUGUUCUUGCUAAUACUACUCACCGAAUCAUCAACAGGUGCAUCAGAGGAUGGGUCCACCAAUCGUUGUCUCACUGAUAUCGUCUUUGGUCCUCUCAGAUAUUUUUUACAACUUUCCUAAAGAUUUAGAGAGAUCUCAAAACGUCGACAGCCAUGGCGACCACCAAAGUCCAGAGGAUUAUGACCCAGCCAAUCCUAUGUAACUGAGUUUUAGGGGUUUUCAAAGUGCACAAAGUUUGAGUCCAUAUUUGGCUUUUAUGAGCGGAAAGAUUUGAAGACUGAAAAAAUAAUUAAUAAAAGGUGGCAAGAUGGAACAAGGUGGCUGAGAAGUAUACUUUCGUCCUGGACCUGGAUGAUAGAUUUGGAUAUGUAUAUAUGCCCAGCUUAGGCCACAAAAACUCCUCACAUGAAGUAAACAUACAUGAUCGUGACACAAUCGCAUAUACUGGUAUCAUUGGUCUAAUGGAUCAGUGGAAGUUAGAUUGGGAUGAUCGUGACCACGAACAUACAAUGGUCGAUUAGUGUUUUCUUUCUCUAUUUGGUUGACUACUUAAUGGCUAAGAUUAAGGAUUUCCAAAGAGCUUACUUUGUAUCUAUAGAAAACUCUGGCCACAUCACCUGUUAGAAACUCAAGGGCCAUUUACCACUACAAUGGAGACCACAUUAUUUUAAUACAUAUUUCAUUAUAAAUAUGUCAUAACUUCGGUUAUUGUGUGACCUGCAAGAUAAAAUCAUCAAGAACUUCAUUAAUAUAAAGACAAACGCAAAAUUCCUCACACGUCAAAUUUCCACUUUAAUUUUUGAAACUAAAAUAUUCACGGCCGCACACAGUCAAAUUUUAAAAGUCCAAACAAAACAACUACUAACGCUCGAUAUCAUCUCGAUUGUCCUAUCUCUAAAAAAAUUGUACACCAAUUUUCACGAUCUGCAGCAAAUAGUUAAAACAUUGACUAAUCCCAACAUAUGAUGCAAACAAAAGCACUAAAUGACAAUCAUCCGAUAAUUCAUUUCAAUAAUGUUGUGAAAAGACGCGAAUCAACUUUGAAGAAAACAAUAGAAAAAUCAAAAUGAAUUGAAGCAAAUACCCGUUUAGGAUUUCUUAUUAUUAUGUGAAUGUAUAAUCUUAAAAACUCUUAGACCCAUAUUUAUAACAGCCUUAAAACCCGAUUUCCUUUUCUCUAUAGGAAUACAUACUUAUCUAGAAAAAAUAAUUUUCUAAACCGAAAAGAUAUACUGAAUGAUGGGCUUUAACUGUGCACAUAAAUUAGCAUUUAACUGUGCAUAUAAAUUUAAGACACAUCCGAUGCAACAAAUAACUUUCACAAACUCCCUACGGCAACGUUACAUUAGCAUUUCGAGGGUAUAUAAUAACAAACACACACUAUUACAUUCCAAUCGACAUUUCUCAUCCACAAACUAACAUUGAAAAUGAAUACGAUUAAGUUACUAACCAAAUGACAAAUAUUACGCGCAUAGCACAGACCAAUCCUAGAUUAUACUAGUAUAUUUUUUAAAAGAUUAUAUUAUCUAUAUAUUAAAUAAACAUACAAAAUAUAUAAUCAAAAUUUAAACAAAAAACCUGGGGUAGCCCGGGCCAACCCUAGUAUUAUUAUAAAAGUGUUUACUCUCUCAUGGAUGCGCCAGGUCAAAAAGUCGCUCAUCCUCAACUCACUGUUUCAUUUAAAGAUAGACAGAAAAAAAUUUGGGCUUUGUGUUAAUCUUCACAAUUAAAGCCCAAAACUGAGCGGUCUUUUAGUCUUCAUCCCUUUCACGGCGUGUUUUUCUUCGAUAAACGAUACCUAAAAAAGUUUCUUCAACGAUCUCCCACACCUUCAAUGGUGUUUCUAGGGAUUUGGAUGAAGAAAUCAAGAUGAAGAAUCUCUUUGUUAAUCUCCACUCUCGUCCUUUAGUCUUCUAAUCUACUCAACAGAAGCCGUCGGAGUUACAGAUCCAGCGUCAUUAUCGUCUUCUUAAUUUCAUAUGCUGUGCUACCUAAAGCACGAUCUGAAAAUGAUUGUAAGUUAUCCCUCUUCAUGGCGGUGUUCUUCCACCUAUAAAAAGGGUAAGCCAACUGAUGAAUCCAUAUUUAUAAUAUUCUAUUUGGAACCGAUAUAGUUUAUAGGGGAAUUGUAUGUUCAUUAACACUUUCGUUCAUGCUGCUGCGCAAGAAUUUGCGUACACCUGCAUCUGUAACUUUUAGAAGCUACCACAUAUAGGUAUUUAGAACAUAUGUGAAGACGACCGAGAGACUUGCAUCAACAGCUUCGUGGUUAGACAAGUCUGGAGACCGCAAAAAGGCUUACCGGAAAAGUAUAGGGCUGUUCGUUUCAUAGGCGUCCAAAAAUUCAACCUUUAUCACAGCAAUACAAACCACCGGUGAAAUAUCGCUGACCUAUUUUUAGUCGCAGCGGCAACAAACAUCAAGGAGAAGGGACGCUAGAAUUAUGUGCAACACAAGCGUCUCGUUUUUGUGUAUCCGACAAUUCAGUAGCAUCUACCGCAACUUUUGAUUUUGCUAUUUUGGUCUCCGUCGUAGUCUAAUUUAUGGCCGCUGCCUCUAAACUCUGUGUUUAUGAAAAGAACAACCUUUAUGUCUAUAUAUUCUGCGCUUGACUCUUUGAGCAUUUACUUCAUUCGUAAGUGUUGAUCAAGAGACAUCAUUCUUGCUUUUCGUUACUUGAUUAAUAACCAUCUCAAUAUAUUUCCAGAUAUUCAAAGGAACUAGAGAAAAUCAGGCUUGCGAAGCAGACAUGACUAGAAAAAAGGUAAUACAAGAAGGAUAGAUGAAACUUUUGUUGUUGUCACUUUGAUUUAAGUGGUUUCUGGUUCAUGACAAACUUCAAGUUGUGAUUUGGUUUUGUUAAUAAGAGACUUUGCUGUAUGAACCAAUGAUUGAAGCGAUGUAAGAAGAAUAGUUUGGUGAUGCAAUAUAGCAUAAACCAAUAUCAGGAUAUCUUCAACAGCUUUCUUGCUGAGUUUUAUGCGCUCUCUGAUACUAUAAGCCCUUAUUUCACGAGAAAAGCAAAAAAUAUUAGACAGUUUCUCAAAGUGAAUGUUGUAUGCUAAUGUUGGACGUGAACUGCCGUGAUUUACUUCACGAGAUAUGUAACAUAUUUUACCAUGUGGUAAGUGUGAGAGGAAAACAUUUAUUUAUAGUAACAGUAUGGAGAAGUAGAUUUCUCAUCUAUACUUUCAAAAACCACAAAAAAUCUUAAAUAUAAAUCUUUAAGCACUGCUGCUGUUGUACAAAGAUAAUUUUGUUAAUAUCUUAAGGGAGUUGAAUUUAAACCUUAUAAUUCUCUUAAUUCACAUAUUAUGAGAAAUUAGAAAAAAAUUCUCCAAGUUCCAACAAAUAUGUUCUCCAGGUUUGAUUUAAGAUCAAAAAAAUUAAUUAACUGCUUACGAUUUCACAUUAAAAAAAUUCAAACUUGCAAAUGUUUAUCCUCCACCUUAUCACUUUGGCAUAUCAGGAUUGAGCUUCUUUGGACCCAAACAAAAGUUGAUUUAUGUAAAAAGGAAACUUCUGCUUCUUUUAAUAUAAUGCUAUUAUAUGCCAAAAAAGUUAUAAAAACAAAAGAGUGUAGAAGAUAAUAAUUAACAGUGAAAAAAGUAACACUUCUGUGAAUUAUUGAAUUACCUCAGCUCCGUAUGUGUUAUAUACGUUUGAAUUUGAUGCGUAACUUAGCUAUUGGUUGGCACGCAAGCGUAAUAUAAUUUAUCAGUGGUCAUAUUUACUAUUUAAUUAAAUAGUUUGAAGAGUUUUUUAUUGUUUCACUGUUUAUGUUAUUUUCAAAAUCCAAUAUAAAAAGUAAAUCAAUUAAAACAAAAUUGAAAAACAAAUUUAGAAUAUAGUUUAGAGAAAUUCGAAAGUAUAGCUUUUUUAAUUUAUAUUCACAAAAAUAGCCCUCAAAGAGGAAAAUGAUCAAAAUAAAUUUUAUUAAAAGGUAAAAAUAUAUUUUUACAAUAGGAUUAACUAAUAUAGAUUUAGGCAUUUGAGUUAAGGAGUGAGGUUUUGAGGAUAUGAUUUCAAAUUAAAAAAUAAAAAUAAAAAUUUCAAUAUAAAAUGGUCUAUUUUGGUCAUUUUCUCCUUGAGAACUAUAUUUGUGGUAACUUAAAAAUGUCGAUUUGAGAUAAUUUUCCUAUAAUUUAUCAUUGGUCAAUUUUACUAUUUAAUUAAAUUCUUAAUAUAUAAAGAUAUUUUUCUUAAUAUUUAUAUUUUUAACCCAAAAAACUUAUAAUUUGAAACAAAAUAAAUAUUAAACAUGAUAAUAGAUUUUUAGCCUACAAUUUACUCUUACAUCUCAAUCACAACUUAGAAAAUACUAAUAAAUUCUCACACACACACACACAUAUAUAUAAAUAUAUAUAAUCAAUUAUAAUAAAUAUAAAAUGCACCCCAUAAGUUAUUAUAUGGUAAUAACUUCCAGUACAACAACAUGAAUACUCAAAAAGAAAUGAUGUAAUGCCACCCCAAGCAAAAAAAAAACAUAACUAAUUAUCAACAUAGCAUGAUUUAUUUAGUGGGGCUUAUUGAAUUAGGGAUUUCAGAAAAUUUUGGGGUUUUGCCAAAUCUUCCCUUAUUGGAUUAGGUAUUUAUAAAAGGUUUUACAAAUCCUUCCUUAUUGGAUAUAGCAUUUAUAGAAGUUCUACUAAAUCAUCCCUUAUUAGAAAAUAUGGAUUUCAUCAAUGAGAUUCAUCAAAAGUGAUUUUGGAUUAAUAAAAACUAUCAUUUACUCUUUAAAUCCAAUAGAGAAGAAUAUAAGAGAUGGAAUUUAAGGAAAAAAAAAACGUAUCAGAGAGAAAUCUCUCUUUUUUUAAAAGAGAAAUUUGGCAGAUUGGGUAAAUUUUAAGUUUGUAAUUGGCUUGUUGGGCAACUUUGAGUUUGAAUUGAAAAAUUGGGUAAAUCUGCUUUUCGGUCUAUGUGAAAUGUCAACCAAGGAUUGUCAUUAUUGUUCUAUUUACAGGUUUGACAUUACUCUUUAAAAAAGGAAAAAAAUUACAAAAAUGUGAACAAAACAAAAAUUCAAAAAAUGUGAAUGACAAAAGGGAAAUUUUCCCAAAGAAACUUGCCUCUAAUGUGGCCAAUUAACACAUAGAUGGAAAUCAUUUUGUCGAAAUUCUAAAGAACCCCAAUUAAGAACAAUUACGUGUUGUGAAACCCAGUUUGAACGUGAAAGGGGUUUUCGAUUUGCAGUUCGAACGUUAUGAAUCAGAAAGUCUUUCGGGUAUCGACCUUCAAGUUUGCCACAUGGUUUCUCAAUUGCGUAGUCAGGCGGCGGUGAGAAGGGUCACUCGCAGUCAAUCCGCCGGACCAAAACCUGAAAGAAAGGGUAAAAGUAGAGAAACCACUAAUCAGACGCCACGUUACGCAGGUAUAAGCUUCGCUUCGAAGCAAUUUGCCUUUCUCGUUAGAUACCUUUAUAGAUUAUAGGUUUAGUUUGGAACCCGCUGAGUCCCGAAUUGCUUUCUUUUCCGAAAAGUUUUUUUGAUUCCAUUGCUGAAUACUUCACAGAACCAGAAAACUCAUAUCAGGAAAAGUCGACAUCGACCUCCGGAGCAGAGUUUAUUGAAACGAUGCAUUCACCUCCGCCUCAGCUUCCAGUAAGACUGUUCGCACGGAACUGCUAUCCAAAUAAACCUCAUCUGAACAUUUAUUCAAAGGCAACAGCCAUUAGCUCGAUAGUGAAGUCGCUGAAAGGAACGCCAGAACUGGAGAAACUGCUUGGAAGUCAGUUUGGUUCUUUGUUCGGCUUACCAGUCGUGCGGUGUUUAAACUCUGCGAAACUCGUACACUCCCACGUUAGCCGUCAACUUGUAACGUUGAAGGAGAAAAAAGAGUGUUCAUUGGAUGAGAGAUGAAAGUGGAUGUAUUUUGGGUUUGGGAAUGAAGAAAAAAGAUGAGUAGAACUUGAUACUACUUAAGAAAGGGUAGAAUGAUGAGAACAAGGCAUUGUAUGUAUGAAUUGCUUCUUUUCUUAGAUAAAUUUUGCAUAAUGAUCUUGCUCUUAUUUUUGCCUAGGCUAGGCUGGUCACCCGUCAAGGCUCCACGAGACCCUUCUUCGAUAGUUCGACCCUCCCGUCUCCGUCGGCGAAGGGCGAUUGUAAUAAC